rnacentral:misc_RNA from 1 species
UUUUUUUUUAGAAGAAAAAAAUUGUAAUAUUGCUGUCACUUGAAACAAUCAAAUUUCGUUCUACAUAUAUCUUUACAAUGGAGGUGUAGCUCCAAAAUUUGAAGCCUUGGGAUCAGGUAGAGCAUACCAGUCAGUGGAAGUAUCGCAGGAGCGCUUACGUGAUCCUCUCUGGCCAAUCUACAAAAUUUACAACAAUUCCACUGGUCUAGAGUCCGAACUAGGCCUUGCCUCAUUGUGGCUAGAACUAGACC